rnacentral:rRNA from 1 species
CCUACGGGAGGCAGCAGUGAGGAAUAUUGGUCAAUGGACGAGAGUCUGAACCAGCCAAGUAGCGUGAAGGAUGACUGCCCUAUGGGUUGUAAACUUCUUUUAUAUGGGAAUAAAACGUUCCACGUGUGGGAUUUUGUAUGUACCAUAUGAAUAAGGAUCGGCUAACUCCGUGCCAGCAGCCGCGGUAAUACGGAGGAUCCGAGCGUUAUCCGGAUUUAUUGGGUUUAAAGGGAGCGUAGGUGGGUUGUUAAGUCAGGUGUGAAAGUUUUCGGCUCAACCGUAAAAUUGCAGUUGAAACUGGCAGUCUUGAGUACAGUAGAGGUGGGCGGAAUUCGUGGGGUAGCGGUGAAAUGCGUAGAUAACACGAAGAACUCCGAUUGCGAAGGCAGUUCACUGGACUGCAAAUGACACUGAGGCUCGAAAGUGUGGGUAUCAAACAGGAUUAGAUACCCUUGUAGUC